GACGAACGCUGGCGGCGUGCUUAACACAUGCAAGUCGAACGGUAAGGCCCCAGCUUGCUGGGGUACACGAGUGGCGAACGGGGGAGUAACACGUGGGUGACCUGCCCCGCACUUCGGGAUAAGCCUGGGAAACUGGGUCUAAUACCGGAGACGACCGCACCGUGAGGGUGGGGUGGAAAGGUUUUCGGUGUGGGAUGGGCCCGCGGCCUAUCAGCUUGUUGGUGGGGUAAUGGCCUACCAAGGCGGCGACGGGUAGCCGGCCUGAGAGGGUGGACGGCCACCUUGGGCCUGAGGCACGGCCCAGACUCCUACGGGAGGCAGCAGUGGGGAAUAUUGCGCAAUGGGCCGAAGCCUGAUGCAGCGACGCCGCGUGGGGGAUGACGGCCUUCGGGUUGUAAACUCCUUUCACCAUCGCCGAAGGUUUUCUGACGGUAGAUGGAGAAGAAGCACCGGCUAACUACGUG
rnacentral:rRNA from 1 species